rnacentral:rRNA from 1 species
UACGGGGGGGGCAAGCGUUGUUCGGAAUUACUGGGCGUAAAGGGCUCGUAGGCGGCCAACUAAGUCGGAUGUGAAAUCCCCAGGCUUAACCCGGGAACUGCGUCCGAUACUGGUAGGCUUGAAUUCGGGAGAGGGAUGCGGAAUUCCAGGUGUAGCGGUGAAAUGCGUAGAUAUCUGGAGGAACACCGGUGGCGAAGGCGGCAUCCUGGACCGACAUUGACGCUGAGGCGCGAAAGCGUGGGGAGCGAUCCGG